GGCACUAUAGUUCAAUUGGUAGAGCAUCACUCAUGAAGACUGAAGGCUGGGGAUUUGAAUCCCUCUAGCGCCA